rnacentral:rRNA from 1 species
AUUGAACGCUGGCGGCAUGCCUUACACAUGCAAGUCGAACGGCAGCGCGGACUUCGGUCUGGCGGCGAGUGGCGAACGGGUGAGUAAUACAUCGGAACGUACCCUGUUGUGGGGGAUAACUAGUCGAAAGAUUAGCUAAUACCGCAUACGACCUGAGGGUGAAAGUGGGGGACCGCAAGGCCUCACGCAGCAGGAGCGGCCGAUGUCUGAUUAGCUAGUUGGUGGGGUAAAGGCCCACCAAGGCGACGAUCAGUAGCUGGUCUGAGAGGACGAUCAGCCACACUGGGACUGAGACACGGCCCAGACUCCUACGGGAGGCAGCAGUGGGGAAUUUUGGACAAUGGGGGCAACCCUGAUCCAGCAAUGCCGCGUGUGUGAAGGAGGCCUUCGGGUUGUAAAGGACUUUUGUCAGGGAGGAAAUCCCUAGUGCUAAUAACACUGGGGGAUGACAGUACCUGAAGAAUAAGCACCGGCUAACUACGUGCCAGCCGCCGCAGUAA